GUAUGCUAUCCACACAGUGGACACUGCCCUGCUCAGCUGGCAACAGAACAAGAAUCCAGAAGCAGAGGAGCUGCUCUACAGCCACUAUGUGAUUUGUAAUGACACAAAUGAGAUUCUGCGCUUUGGCCAAGUGGACACAGAUGAGAAUGUGCUGCUGGCUAGCCUCCACAGCCACCAAUACAGCUGGAGAUCCCACAAGUCAGCUCAGCUGCUGCACAUCUGCAUCGAGGGAUGGGGGAACUGGCGCUGGUCGGAGCCGUUCAGCGUGGACAACAUAGGGAC